CAGAUGAUGAUCCCAAGCCUUCUGCGGUCUACGCAAUAAGCUCUCAUCAAAAGCUUUAAGCAAAGCUCUUUCCAUUUUUGUAAUGAUGCUUGUAUGAGAUAACGCUUUUAAGAGAUGAUGCUUUUAAGAGAUGAUGCUUUUAAGAGAUGAUGCUUUUAAGAGAUGAUGCUUUUAAGAGAUGAUUCUGGGGAAGGUUUUCCGGUUUAUCUCGGAGGGCUUGUAGCUCAGUUGGUUAGAGCGCGCGCUUGAUAAGCGUGAGGUCGGAGGUUCAAGUCCUCCCAGGCCCACCAGUUUAUCCAUCCAUUUGCCUUUAUCCAUCCAUUUGUUAAGUCUCGGUAACGCUUUUUGUCAUGAUAAAAAGUCGUGAUUAUAAAACUUAUAAAAGGCUUGUUUCUAAAAUGUGACGCUUAUCCAUUUCGUUUAGGCAAGAGAAACUUUAAGCAGUUCAAACGCAAAAUAAUUCAAAUUUUGCAAAACAAUUCAAGUUUUAAAGUGAUCAACGUUCGUGGUCAAAAAAUUGAAAGUUUCGAAUGUUCUAUCCUUUUUUAGGGGCCGUAGCUCAGCUGGGAGAGCACCUGCUUUGCAAGCAGGGGGUCGUCGGUUCGAUCCCGUCCGGCUCCACCAUUUAGGUCAUCAUCAUUGUUGUGAGAACACUCUUUAGUGAGAGGUUAAGUAAACCUUUUGCUUGUUCUAUUGAAAUUGUGAAGAGAA
rnacentral:tRNA from 1 species